rnacentral:rRNA from 1 species
GGCGGCGUGCCUAAUACAUGCAAGUCGAACGAGUUCUGAUUAUUGAAAGGUGCUUGCAUCUUGAUUUUAAUUUUGAACGAGUGGCGGACGGGUGAGUAACACGUGGGUAACCUGCCCUUAAGUGGGGGAUAACAUUUGGAAACAGAUGCUAAUACCGCAUAAAUCCAAGAACCGCAUGGUUCUUGGCUGAAAGAUGGCGUAAGCUAUCGCUUUUGGAUGGACCCGCGGCGUAUUAGCUAGUUGGUGAGGUAACGGCUCACCAAGGCAAUGAUACGUAGCCGAACUGAGAGGUUGAUCGGCCACAUUGGGACUGAGACACGGCCCAAACUCCUACGGGAGGCAGCAGUAGGGAAUCUUCCACAAUGGACGCAAGUCUGAUGGAGCAACGCCGCGUGAGUGAAGAAGGCUUUCGGGUCGUAAAACUCUGUUGUUGGAGAAGAAUGGUCGGCAGAGUAACUGUUGUCGGCGUGACGGUAUCCAACCAGAAAGCCACGGCUAACUACGUGCCAGCAGCCGCGGUAAUACGUAGGUGGCAAGCGUUAUCCGGAUUUAUUGGGCGUAAAGCGAGCGCAGGCGGUUUUUUAAGUCUGAUGUGAAAGCCCUCGGCUUAACCGAGGAAGUGCAUCGGAAACUGGGAAACUUGAGUGCAGAAGAGGACAGUGGAACUCCAUGUGUAGCGGUGAAAUGCGUAGAUAUAUGGAAGAACACCAGUGGCGAAGGCGGCUGUCUGGUCUGUAACUGACGCUGAGGCUCGAAAGCAUGGGUAGCGAACAGGAUUAGAUACCCUGGUAGUCCAUGCCGUAAACGAUGAAUGCUAGGUGUUGGAGGGUUUCCGCCCUUCAGUGCCGCAGCUAACGCAUUAAGCAUUCCGCCUGGGGAGUACGACCGCAAGGUUGAAACUCAAAGGAAUUGACGGGGGCCCGCACAAGCGGUGGAGCAUGUGGUUUAAUUCGAAGCAACGCGAAGAACCUUACCAGGUCUUGACAUCUUUUGAUCACCUGAGAGAUCAGGUUUCCCCUUCGGGGGCAAAAUGACAGGUGGUGCAUGGUUGUCGUCAGCUCGUGUCGUGAGAUGUUGGGUUAAGUCCCGCAACGAGCGCAACCCUUAUGACUAGUUGCCAGCAUUUAGUUGGGCACUCUAGUAAGACUGCCGGUGACAAACCGGAGGAAGGUGGGGAUGACGUCAAAUCAUCAUGCCCCUUAUGACCUGGGCUACACACGUGCUACAAUGGAUGGUACAACGAGUUGCGAGACCGCGAGGUCAAGCUAAUCUCUUAAAGCCAUUCUCAGUUCGGACUGUAGGCUGCAACUCGCCUACACGGAGUCGGAAUCGCUAGUAAUCGCGGAUCAGCACGCCGCGGUGAAUACGUUCCCGGGCCUUGUACACACCGCCCGUCACACCAUGAGAGUUUGUAACACCCGAAGCCGGUGGCGUAACCCUUUUAGGGAGCGAGCCGUCUAAGGUGGGACAAAUGAUUAGGGUG